AUACGUAGGGGGCAAGCGUUAUCCGGAUUUACUGGGUGUAAAGGGAGCGUAGGCGGCAAGGCAAGUCUGAUGUGAAAACCCGGGGCUCAACCCCGGGACUGCAUUGGAAACUGCUUAGCUAGAGUGUCGGAGAGGUAAGUGGAAUUCCUAGUGUAGCGGUGAAAUGCGUAGAUAUUAGGAGGAACACCAGUGGCGAAGGCGACUUACUGGACGAUAACUGACGCUGAGGCUCGAAAGCGGUGGGGAGAC
rnacentral:rRNA from 1 species